AACGAAAAAUUCGCGUUUUAAACGCCCACACGAGUAAUCAAAUAUUAAGAAAGAACUUUAAGUUAUUUAAAAUCAUUGGUAUGUAAUUUUCUAGUGUAUGCAUUUGCAUACAUAAGAUCACUGCAAUUAAAAAGUAAUUAAUAAUAUUUUAUUAAGUUACUCUCAAAAAAAUAAUUAAGUAACCUUUUUU
rnacentral:misc_RNA from 1 species